rnacentral:lncRNA from 1 species
UUAUGAGUACGAUCGUCCUCGUACUCAUAAGUUGUUUUCGAUGAUAGAGCUUUCGAAUCGACGAUCCGCACCAUUAAACGUUAUCUAGUGCAUUUGAAACAUCUAGAAAUCAAAUUUCAUAAUUUUUUGACAUCAUUUACCUUACGAUUAAAGGCUUACAAAAUUGACAAUUUAUAACGGCUGAUAUGAAAUACUUGCUAGUUUGACGGUGCAAAAGAAUCUGAAUAGUUUGAAUUUUUGAUAGAAAAUUAUAUUCACUACCUAGAUAAAGAUCAAUAACUUUGAUUUUAAAUUGAAAGAUCCGAUCAUCCAUUUUUACGAUAUCGUUCGAUUUUGACCGUUCAAUUUAUGCCCGCUUGAUGGACUUUAUUAUGAUUUCGAAAAAUUAUGAAAUUUAUUUUCUAGAAGCUUCAAAUACUCUAGAUCAUAUUUAACGGAGUGGAUUGUCGAUUCGGAAGCUCCAUCAUUGAAAAUAACUUAUGAGUACGAAGGGCCCAAUACUCAUAAUAGUAUAGUAGUCCUACUCCACCUUUUGUGGCCAUAGUAGGUCUAGUUUAGUUUGUGGGACAGAGAGGUUUUGUGUUACAUGAGAGAGUUUGUAGCUGUGCAAAAUUUUGUCUUGCCUCUUAAAAUUCUAAUAUAUAUAUAUUUUUUUGAGAGAUAGGUAGCACGCUACCAGCUUCGUUUGAUUUCAUUUAGAAAUAAACUUAGCUAGAAAUGUGAAUCAACUAGGAUUCGAACUUAAGUCUCGGAUAUCAACCACCAAAUCCUUUGCCACUUGCUCUAGGGACAGUCGGUAAUUCUAACUAUUAUUAGUUUUAUUAUAUCAACCAUCAUUGUUAUGCCAAAAAUAU